UACGUAGGGUGCGAGCGUUGUCCGGAAUUAUUGGGCGUAAAGAGCUCGUAGGCGGUCUGUCGCGUCGAUCGUGAAAACUUGGGGCUUAACCCUGAGCUUGCGGUCGAUACGGGCAGGCUAGAGUUCGGUAGGGGAGGACUGGAAUUCCUGGUGUAGCGGUGGAAUGCGCAGAUAUCAGGAGGAACACCGAUGGCGAAGGCAGGUCUCUGGGCCGCAACUGACGCUGAGGAGCGAAAGCAUGGGGAGCGAACAGG
rnacentral:rRNA from 1 species